rnacentral:rRNA from 1 species
AACGCGAAGAACCUUACCAAGGUUUGACAUGCAGGGAAAAGCCGUAGAGAUAUGGUGUCCGUAAGGGUCCUGCACAGGUGGUGCAUGGCUGUCGUCAGCUCGUGUCGUGAGAUGUUGGGUUAAGUCCCGCAACGAGCGCAACCCUCGUCCUAUGUUGCCAGCGGAUAAUGCCGGGGACUCAUGGGAGACUGCCGGGGUCAACUCGGAGGAAGGUGGGGAUGACGUCAAGUCAUCAUGCCCCUUAUGUCUUGGGCUGCAAACAUGCUACAAUGGCCGGUACAGAGCGCUGCGAGCCCGUGAGGGUGAGCGAAUCGCGGAAAGCCGGUCUCAGUUCGGAUCGGGGUCUGCAACUCGGCCCCGUGAAGCCGGAGUCGCUAGUAAUCGCGGAUCAGCAACGCCGCGGUGAAUACGUUCCCGGGCCUUGUACACACCGGAGUA